rnacentral:rRNA from 1 species
UACGAAGGGGGCUAGCGUUGCUCGGAAUUACUGGGCGUAAAGCGCACGUAGGCGGCUUUCUAAGUCGGGGGUGAAAUCCUGGAGCUCAACUCCAGAACUGCCUUCGAUACUGGAGAGCUCGAGUCCGGGGAGAGGUGAGUGGAACUGCGAGUGUAGAGGUGAAAUUCGUAGAUAUUCGCAAGAACACCAACGGCGAAGGCAGCUCGCUGGGACGGUACUGACGCUGAGACGCGAAAGCGUGGGGAGCGAACGAGGAC